UGCUACGGCCCCGUGGCGCACUGGUACACCCGAUCCCUCGAUCUCGGAAGUUAAGCAACGCACGAUCCGGACAGUUCUUGGAUGGGAGACCAACCAAGGACGACCGGAUUGCUGUAGCCU
rnacentral:rRNA from 1 species